GCUGCCUGCAGGCUCCCUUUAUCUUCCUGGUAACCUCGAGCAUUCAUCCCACAUCAAGUCAAGCAGCGUUGGUUCACCGGAGCAGGCAUUAAUGGAAAGUGCUGAUGAAAGCCAGUAAGAGCACUGAAAACUGUGACACAAUGCCUCUUCCAGGACUGAUAGCAGGCUGAGUGAGAAGCACUUUGCUGUAGGGCUGACAGGGGGUUCAGCACAAAGUGACUCACGGACCUUACACUUGAGCUGGUGAACACCCACUGGAGACGUCCCAAUUCAUUUCGUGCGCCGCUGCUCGGAAGCUUUUUUUAUUCAGCUGACGGGGUGGAGUUGACUACAAAGUGAAUCGAGUAACUCUCAAGACAAAAAUAAGCACACAUACUCAAAAGCAGAAUCAUCACAGACAAAAAUAGGAUUAUUAGUGCCCUGGUAUGUUGAAACUACCUUUUACGAGCAAACUCUGACAAACAAACAGCAUUUAUCCGCUCUGCAACAAAUUCGGUCAAGUCUUAUAGUGCAGAAUUACUGCAUUGGUGUGGAAGAAAAAAUGAAGACUUAAAAGGCUUGUGAAUGAAAGGAGAUGCAACAUAAGUAAAUCAAUGCAGGCUAAAUGACUCAACACUGCGAAUGAAUAAUUAAUUUCUCCAUGUCGAGGAAUCCCUUUGGUAAAAAACAAUCCCAAGAAUCAUUUGUUAGAUGUAAAGACAAUGGAGGAAAUGGGAACCUCUUGUGCAGGUACACGUGACAAUAAAUCAAAUCAAUUAAUCAGUCAAGAAGAAUUCUACCCUGUUAACAAUGCUGACUGGAAAAGAAGCUUCAAAGAGCAAGAACUUAAAAACUAAC